GCAUGCACUCAGUGCACACCCUUGAAGACUUCUUCAUAUACCAGUCAUACCCUAUACUGUUGUUAUUGAAGUCAGGACUCAGCAUGAACAUGAAGGCCCCUGCUCAGCUUCUUGGUCUCCUGUUGCUCUGGUUUCCAGGUGCCAGAUGUGACAUCCAGAUGAACCAGUCUCCAUCCUCCCUGUCUGUAUCUUUGGGAGACAGAGUCACCAUCACUUGCAGAGCAAGUCAGGGCAUUAGUGGUUAUUUAAGUUGGUUUCAGCAGAAACCAGGGAAAGCUCCUAAACGCCUGAUCUACGGUGCAUCCAACUUGGGGAAUGGUGUUCCAUACAGGUUCAGUGGCAGUGGGUCUGGCACAGAUUAUUCCCUCAUCAUCAGCAACCUGGAGUCUGAAGAUAUUGCAACUUAUUACUGUGUACAGUCUGUUAGUUAUCCUUCCACAGUGAUACAAGUCAUAACAUAAACCCCCAUGGAAGCA